CUGAUAGUCCUGGAAACUGAAACUGUAUACUUACAAAACAGGUAUUGCAUGGGGUGUGGAAGCGUAAUUUUAUCCCACGCUGCAGAGUCUGUGCCUCAGGCAGGAUCCAGCAUGACAGUGGAGUCUCUGGCUUUCACUGCACUUUAAACCAGCAAAACU
ensembl:misc_RNA